rnacentral:rRNA from 1 species
ACGGCUCAGUAACACGUAGUUAACCUGCCCUAAGGUCGAGGAUACCCUCGGGAAACUGAGGUUAAAACUCGAUAGAAGAUAUACCCUGGAAUGAUUUAUCUUCGAAAUUCGUGCCUUAGGAUGGGACUGCGGCGGAUUAGGUCGUUGGCGGGGUAAAAGCCCACCAAGCCGAUGAUCCGUAAGGGCUCUUAGCGGAGAGGCCCUGAGAGGGAAUCUUAGACACUAUUCCCAGCCCUACGGGGUGCAGCAGGUAGGAAUCUUUUACAAUGCGCGAAAGCGUGAUAAAGCGAGCCAGAGUGAUUUUCUACGGAAAAUCUUUUGUUUGCUGUAAAAAGGCAGACGAAUAAGGACUGGGUAAGACGAGUGCCAGCCGCCGCGGUAAUACUCGCGGUCCAAGUCGCAGCCAUCAUUAUUAGGUCUAAAAUAUCCGUAGCUUGUUCUGAAAGUUUCUUGUGAAAUCCUACAUCUUAAAUGUAGGGCGUGCAAGAAAUACUUCAGGGCUAGAGACUGGAAGACGUAAGAAGUACGAUAGAAGUAGUGGUAAAAUACGUUAAUCUUUAUCGGACUCUCAAUAGCGAAGGCGUCUUACGAGCACAGUUCUGACAGUGAGGGAUGAAGGCUAGGGGCGCAAAAGGGAUUAGAUACCCCUGUAGUCCUAGCAGUAAACACUGCAUACUAAACAUCAGUACCUCCUCGAGAGGUGUUGGUGCUGAAGCGAAGGCGAAGAGUAUGCUACCUGGGAAGUAUAGCCGCAAGGCCGAAACUUAAAGGAAUUGGCGGGGGAGCAC